UAAAGGGCUGCAGUAUAUUGACUGUACAAAGGUAGCAUAAUCAUUAGUCUUUUAAUUGAAGACUUGUAUGAAAGAUUUGAUGAAAUAUAAACUGUCUCUAAUUUAUAAAUAGAAAUUAAUUUUUUAAUUAAAAAGUUAAAAUAUUAUUAAAAGACGAGAAGACCCUAUAGAGUUUUAUAAUUUAUUUAUUUAAUUAUUAAAUAUAUAUUUAAAUUUAAUAAAUAAAUAAAUUAUUGUAUUGGGGUGAUAAAAAAAUUUAAUAAACUUUUUUUAAUUUAAUAACAUAAAUAAAUGAAAAAAUGAUCCAUUUUUAAUGAUUAAAAGAAAAAAUUACCUUAGGGAUAACAGCGUAAUAUUUUUUUUUAGUACAAAUAAAAAAAAAAGUUUGCGACCUCAAUGUUGGAUUAAGAUAAAAUUUGAAUGCAAAAGUUUAAAAGUUUUGAUCUGUUCGAUCAUUAAAAUCUUACAUGAUCUGAGCU
rnacentral:rRNA from 1 species